GAGUUUGAUCCUGGCUCAGGACGAACGCUGGCGGCACGCCUWACACAUGCAAGUCGARCGGAGAUAUUUUGGUUUACUGAGAUAUCUUAGUGGCGGACGGGUGAGUAACACGUGAGCAACCUGCCUSUGAGAGAGGGAUAGCUUCUGGAAACGGAUGGUAAUACCUCAUAACAUAACGAAGCCGCAUGACUUUGUUAUCAAAGAUUUAUCACUCAGAGAUGGGCUCGCGUCUGAUUAGAUAGUUGGUGAGGUAACGGCUCACCAAGUCGACGAUCAGUAGCCGGACUGAGAGGUUGAACGGCCACAUUGGGACUGAGGCACGGCCCAGACUCCUACGGGAGGCAGCAGUGGGGAAUAUUGCACAAUGGGGGAAACCCUGAUGCAGCGAUGCCGCGUGGAGGAAGAAGGUUUUCGGAUUGUAAACUCCUGUCUAAAGGACGAUAAUGACGGUACUUAGAAGAGUGGGGUC
rnacentral:rRNA from 1 species